CAGUCCUACCCCAACUUGAACAUAUGUUAUCCCUAUAAGCAAUGCACUCUACUCUUCUGAAGCCCUCUGAAACCAAUCUGUCCCGCCAGAUCAUGAUGUAGAUUACACCUAGGAAUAUGACACAGAAGACUUCCUCGCUUGGAGUACUCAAUGAAGUGAGAUGGAUGCAACAAAUAGCCAGGAAGCAUCAUGUUUCCAAAGCUAGUAUCUCGGCUCAUUUCAUCAUUGAGGAGGGCAGUGAAAUGCUCCAGAAGGACCUUGAUUUCUAUGGAAGAAGCUUGCAUGAGCAAAACCAGUUUGUCCAGAAAUGUAUAGAUGAACACCUUCAUUUACUUCUGAUAUCCUGGGUUCCCAUAGCCCCUGUGCUGAUGUUGCUGCUCCUAUUGGAGCAGAGACUGUGUGGGAGAUGGGGAACCCCAGAUGUACUUCGUGGGGCUCAAACAAAUUCACCUUCUACAGUGUUUAAAAAGCAAGAUAUUUCCCAUAAAAUCUCCAUCUCUGGAGUCUCAAGGAGAGAAACAAAAGCUCUCCCAGUAUUCAGCCCAUAUUCUUAAAUGGUAACACCUGGCUAGAGCUGAGGAAUGGCUGCCUCUUUGGGGCAGGAUGUGCAUUCAAGUUUGUCACCAUCCCAAUUGCUUGUUGUUGCAAGGGUUACAAGCUGGGUGACAUUGAAACCUGGCUAACACAGUUUGUUUGGUCAGUAUAACCCCUAAAUUAUUAUUAGUAUGUAUUUUUUUAGAAAGUUGUAAUGCUUAUGGGCAGCUUUGAAACUCUGCAGUUCCACAGGUCAACCUUCCCAUUGCUCUAGACCUGGCCAGAUUCAUGUACUUCUACGGCCGGCCUUGCAGGGUAGCAGCCCUCCUCCUUGUCCUACCCCAUGUCCCCUCAGCCUGCUGGAACUCCCCUGAGGCCCACAAAGGCGGUUUCCAGUAGACACACAGCUGUCUACCUCAAAAGCCUGUGUCUCUCUCUCCCUUUCACUGCCUGAGGGCUUCCCCCUCAACUCUAUGCUCAUUCUGCAGGCACAAAGAGGUAGUGCCGGGCAUAGGUGCCCAUG